rnacentral:pre_miRNA from 1 species
AACACAAUUGCUAGAUUGUCUGGUAAGAGUAUACUUAAUUUUGUAAGAAUCCACCAAAUUGUCUUCCAAAGUGGCUGUACCAUUUUACAUUCCCACCAGUGAU